rnacentral:rRNA from 1 species
GCACCUACGGGAGGCAGCAGUGGGGAAUAUUGCACAAUGGGGGAAACCCUGAUGCAGCGACGCCGCGUGAGUGAAGAAGUAUUUCGGUAUGUAAAGCUCUAUCAGCAGGGAAGAAAGUGACGGUACCUGAAAAAGAAGCUCCGGCUAAAUACGUGCCAGCAGCCGCGGUAAUACGUAUGGAGCAAGCGUUAUCCGGAUUUACUGGGUGUAAAGGGGGAGUAGGUGGCAGAGCAAGUCCGAAGUGAAAACCCAAAGCUCAACUAUGGGAAUGCUUUAGAAACUGCUCAGCUAGAGUGCAGGAGAGG